AGCAGCAGCUGGCCUCAUGAACGCUUACCAAAGCUUUGGGGAAUGUGCAGUAAUGAGAAUAAAGAUCUUUUUCCAUUUCUACCUAGAUGAGAAGACUGAGAAUCAGAGAAGGAAAAUGGAAGCAAGAUAAUAAACACAUCAGUAAAGGAGACUAGGUUUGGGCAUCAAGAAUAUUGGCUGGUCUGAUUUCAAAUCUGGUUUGUUAAAGUAUGGAGAUCAAUAGAUUCAUCUUUAUGGUAGAUUAAAGAUGGUUACAAAAUCUUUGACACUUCUCCCAUUGAGAGGUGGAGUUUAUGUCUUCUCCAUUCAAAACUAGGUGGGCUCCAUGACUGCUCUAUUGCAUAAAAUGUGGUACAAAUGAUACUCUGCUAGUUUGGGGGCCCUGGCCAUAAGAGACUGACAGCUUCUACUUCCUGCUACUUGUAACACUCAUUUGUGGAAGCCAACCUCCAUGAAAAAGUAUGACCAUCCUAAGAAUAAUGUGUUGUGAGAACCCAAAGCCUAUGAAAAGGCCCUCAAGGAUGAGAUACCCUGUGGAGCAAGAGAGACAAAGGAGCACUGAGGUGUUAGAUGUAUCCAUGAGACAUAUGUGCCAUCUCUGAAAUGGAUUGCCAGCUCCAAGGACCCCAGCUGAUCAACAAAUGGAUCAGACACAGGUUGCCCAGCUGAGAUCAUCCUGAAGGUGCCUGAAUUCUCAACCUCCAAAAUUUGAGCAAAUGAAAUAGUUGUUUGGGAUACUAAAUUUUGUGCUAGUUUGUUAAGCUGCAACAGAUAAUAGGGAAAGAUAUAUAGGUACCUAGAAAAGGUGUGUCACCAUUAUAAAAACCUAUAAUUUAUGGCAUGGAUUUUGAGACUAAACAGUGGGCAGAGACUAAAAAGGGCUCAAGGAGAUUGUUAAUGGAUACCUGAAGGACAGGAGGUUAUUAUUGAGGCUUGGCAUAAGGGCAACCCAUUUGUGCAGUUGCAGAAGGUUUAGCAAAACUAUCAGCUGAAGUAUUUUGGAAACAUAAAAUGGACCUGACAAGCCAAUGGAUCCUGAUAAGUAGGUUAUUAAAAGUGACAACAGGUUCCUGUAUCUGCAUAUGAUAAAAUAUGCAUAGGGAGAAAUAAGCUAAGGAAGUUAUUUAAUUUUUUUGCAGAACUUAAAGAAAUAUAUAGGAACCAAGACUUGCUGGCUUCGAAAAUGUAAUUAUUUCUUAUCUGUUUCCCAGCUAAGAAAACAUUUUUAAAGCACAAAAUAGUCUCAGGUAAAGAUCAAAACCAGGAUAGUAAAGCAAAGACUCAGGGCAAAGGUAAAGUCAAAGCUGUAAGUAUAAAUAUCUUUGAUAAGAUCUCAGAAAAAUUUAAGUUGAUGUGUCAUAUACUCUAUCAGCUAGACAAAAGAUUUUAACAGUAUACCUUUAUAGGCCCUCUGUUAAACAAAAGAGUUUCUAAUAAUUUUAAGGAUAUUGUCUCAUCCUUAAGCAAUUUUGCAGAAGGCCAAGAGAAUCCAAAGCAGGCUCGGCACUGACAGCAGGCUCUACAGAGGGCCUGAUCUCACAAACCAUGAGAUUCUGACCUGAGCCAAAAUCAAGAGUCAGAUGCUUAACCACCUGAGCCACCCUGGCACCCCUGAAUUCACUAUUUAAGCAAAACCAUUUGCUCUUCACAUUCAUAAAAAUUAUUAUUUAUACAACAUUUGAAUCUAUUUGACCUUAUGAUUUCUGGCCGGUAGAGGUGACAGAAGUGAUGUCUAAGUACUGACCCUGGGCUUCUACUUUCUCUUCAAAACCCUGGAGCCUGAAGAAAUGAGUCAUCCCAGAUGACCUUCCAGCUGAGCUCCUGGCUAACCAUAAACUUAUGAACAAGCUCAACUGAGAUCAGCUUAGCCCAGGCCAGACCAGAAGAACUCUCCCAGUUGGACCCAGCCUCAAUUGUCAACUCAAAGAAUCAUGAACUAAAAAAGGGUUGCUGUUUAAAGCUGUAAGUUUUGAAGUGGGUUAAACAGCAAUAGCUAACUGGUACAAUUGCAUUCCAUUUGAUUUACUGCUAAUUAAGAAUGAAAUGAAAAAGUAUUGGUUGUUCUGCCCACUUUUAGGUACUUUUCUUUAUUCUUGUUUAUAAAUUUGAGGAUGAAACCAAUAAACUAACUUUUAGUAUUUCUCUGUGGCAUGAUAUAAUGAAAACACAGUGACACUGUGACAUUCCUGCCCCAAAUCAAAACCUGAAUCUAAUUAUAUCAGGCAAACACAAAUUGAAGGAAAUUUUCCAAAAGUGUCAAGGUCAUGAAAGACAAGGAAACAUUGAGAAACGAUUGUAGUUUGAAGAAGAUUAAAGAAAGGACAACAAAAUACAACAUAAUUCUGGAUUGGAUCCUUUUGCUGGUGUAAAAUAAUGGACUAAAGAGUUUAAGAGUAUACCUUUAUAGGCCCUCUAUUAAACAAUAGAGUUUCUAAUAAUUUUAAGGAUAUUGUUUCAUCCUUAAGCAAUUUUGCAGAAGGCCAAAGGCAGAGAAGAACUUACCUCAAAAUGAUUUGUGGGAAUGACUAUUAUCUAAUAGAAUGGAUUAUAGUUUUAUACAAUGGACAAAAUUUAGAUAGAGUCUAUGGAUUAGAUGGUAAAUCAGUGUUAAUUUACCAAUUUUGAUGGUUGUAUUAUGGCUAUGUAGAAUAUGUCUUUGCUUAUAAGAAUUACAUAUUAAAGUAUUUGGAGGUUUGGAGGCAUCAUGUAGGAAACUUACUCUCCAUGGUUCUGUGUUUAAAAAGUUUGAAAAAAAAAUUUAAAGUAAAGAAUAUUAAUGGUAGGGGGCAGUUCUGGUCCUAGAAGACCAUAAAGAGCAGGUACCUCCCACUUAGGUUAAUGAUCUGUUCCUGAUAAUCAGACUUACUGCCCCUGAAGUGCUGAACAGGAGCCUAUUUUCCAUUAUUUUAGAUGAGAAAAAUUAUAUGGUCGGCACAUCAACUUAACACCCAACCUGAAUGCCUGGAUGACUCAGUCAGUAGAGCAUGCAACUCUUGAUCUCAGGGUUGUAAGUUCGAGCCCCACAUUGGUUGUAGAGAUUACUUAAAAAUAAAAUCUUAAAAAAAAAAAGCCCACCAAAAAGCACCCAACUAAUUUACUUAACAGGGAAUCAAACACAAUAAAGUGUGCAUCUCUGUAUAAGAAACAUGUUAGUACAUAAUACGGUUAAAAUGUCACUUUCUGAUAACAAAUUAAUAUAGUUAUUAACAAACUUUUGCUUUGUAUGUGACAUCCAAGAUAUAAUCCCCUUUGCUGUCACUUAGUGUACUUUAAAAUCAUC